UGGAUCGGUGGCUUGCCGUUUUUUCUUUCCUUCCGCUGCUCCUUAUGAUUGGUGUUUUUAGUUGAAUUUUGUUAGGCAGUUUUGAACUAUCGAUUUCUUUUUUCUUUUGCUUUCAACAAAAUUUAAUUUCAGCUGAGAUCAUGAUGACAAGUGGUUUAGUGAUUUAAUUUCACUGCUUGAAUGCAUGAUUCAUGCUUUUAGUUGAAUUUUUGUCUUUGAUAGUGUGAGUUGUAUUCAGUUUCCUUCAUGCUUGAAAAUAUUGGAUUGCCCAUCAUUGUUUCCCAUUUUGCCCUUUUUUUAAAAUAUAUGAUUAGUGUGUUUACUGGGGUUUGUUAUUGCUAGUUAUGAACUAUACCAUUUGGUUUUUGAGUUCUCUCUCUUAAAAAAACUAGUGUUUGUGGUCACAGGGGCUGCGGCUGUUUUAAUUGCAUUCAUGUUGUUUUAAGAGCAGUGUUGCUUCUUUAUAGAUUUUACAUUCCCAUUUGUAGUUGUGCAAGGACAAACAUUAUAUUCCACAAUUGGACCCAUGGUUCGCUAAUCCAGACCAUUGGCCUAUUGCAUCGAACUACGGAUUGAUGAAGGCCUAAAAAUCUCCGUGAUGGGAAAUUCACAGGCACCAAUCUUUGGAUAAAUUUCAUUUGGAUGGAGACUGGCACUCUAAUUUUCAACCAAAAUAUGUUAGAGGGGCAGUGAAAAAUAAAGUUCCACUUGUGCGUUCAUUAACCUUAACAAGUAUAUGAAAUUUUAGUAGAUGAACUCUUCUACCAAGAUGGAUUACAUGGAGUAGUUUUUCAAGGACCAAGUGGCUGUCAUUCAUGAAACUUUGGAAGCAAAAGAAAGUGCUUUUGAGAAAUUGCUCCAGGGAGAACGUGACAAGCCAAAGCUAUCCAACAAUGAUUCUAGAAGCAAAGAGGAGAAGAAACUUAGCCAAGAGAAGAAGAAAAAAAAGAAGCAUACCCACAUGCACAGAAAAAAAGGCCUUUUCUAAUAGUAACUGUUUUAGGAUUUGAUAUUCAUAAUACAACCCCAUCUUGGUUUUCGUUGUUUUAAAUCACCCAAACUCAAACAAGUAUGUCAGAUUUGAAAAUUUCUCAAUUUCUCCAUUUUGCAUCUUAUGGACCAACCUGUUAUUGAUAUUAGAAAAUGUGCAAACUUUACCAUUCAUCAGAAGUCCCACUCAUCUUGUGGGCCUUUGGCAAGGAUAAAGAAGAAGAUAAGGAGACUAGAGAGUGCAAGUCUCUCUUUAAAAAUUUGAAGUUCUUCUUGAGUUGUGAGGAUUUUGAUGUUCGAGAGUUUGCUAUAUCAGUUGCUGGCAGAUUGUCUGAAAAGAAUCCAGCAUAUGUUCUGCCUGCACUUUGUCGCCAUCUCAUACAAUUUCUGAUGCAUCUUGAGCAAAGAGGUUUUGGGAAGAUUUAUGGUGUGAGGAGUGCUUGCUGAGAGUUUUGGAGAUCUUUAUGUUGGUUCAUCAUAGAAAGGAGGCUUUGGUGAGGCAAUUAUUUCAGCAUGUUCGCAAUAAUAUUGUGUGGAAUGUCACCUUUGGAAGAAUUUGAAAGAUGAUGAAAUCUUUUGUUUAGUCACCUUUUCUCCUAUUUUCAAUCUGUUUAAAUUCCACUUACAAGUUUUGGUUGCAAAAUUUUUACUCUCAGCUCCCAAGGCUGAGUUACUCUGUGAAAUCUCUUGUUGUAGCUCUUAGUAGGGGGUUUGACGGAAGGAAUUUUUAUUCUCAAGGAUUUGGAAGGGUGUGCUUCCUUUAAAGGUGAAGGCUUUAGCCUGGUUAGCUGCUGCAGGAAAAUUCUGACCAUGGAUAACUUUCAGAGGUGUGGUUUAAGCGCUUCAGACAAGUGUGUU